rnacentral:rRNA from 1 species
ACACCGGCGGCCCGAGUGGUGAUCGUGAUUAUUGGGUCUAAAGGGUCCGUAGCCGGUUUGGUCAGUCCUCCGGGAAAUCUGAUAGCUCAACUAUUAGGCUUUCGGGGGAUACUGCCAGACUUGGAACCGGGAGAGGUAAGAGGUACUACAGGGGUAGGAGUGAAAUCUUGUAAUCCCUGUGGGACCACCUGUGGCGAAGGCGUCUUACCAGACGGGGUUGGACGGUGAGGGACGAGAGGUGGGGGCACGAACCGGAUUAGAUACCGGGGUAGUCCCAGCCGUAAACGAUGCUCGCUAGGUGUCAGGCAUGGCGCGACCGUGUCUGGUGCCGCAGGGAAGCCGUGAAGCGAGCCACCUGGGAAGUACGGCCGCAAGGCUGAAACUUAAAGGAAUUGACGGGG